GACGAACGCUGGCGGCGUGCUUAACCCAUGCAAGUCGAACGGAGUGGCGAACGGGUGAGUAACACGUGGGUGACCUGCCCUGCACUUCGGGAUAAGCCUGGGCAACUGGGUCUACUACCUGCUAGUGUGGGCGGGUCCCGCGGCCUAUCCGCUUGUUGGUGGGGUAAUGGCCUACCAAGGCGGCGACGGGUAGCCGGCCUGAGAGGGUGGCCGGCCACAUUGGGAAUGAGACACGGCCCAGACUCCUACGGGAGGCAGCAGGGGGGAAUAGUGCACAAUGGGCGGAAGCCUGAUGAAGCGACGCCGCGUGGGGGAUGACGGCCGUCGGGUUGUAAACUCCUUUCACCAUCGACGCGGUAGAUGGAGAAGAAGCACCGGCUAACUACGUGCCAGCAGCCGCGGUAAUUC
rnacentral:rRNA from 1 species